rnacentral:rRNA from 1 species
GACGUAGGGCGCAAGCGUUGUCCGGAUUUAUUGGGCGUAAAGAGCUCGUAGGCGGCUUGUUGCGUCGUCCGUGAAAACCCGCAGCUCAACUGCGGGCUUGCGGACGAUACGGGCAGGCUGGAGUUCGGUGAGGGGAGACUGGAAUUCCUGGUGUAGCGGUGAAAUGCGCAGAUAUCAGGAGGAACACCGAUGGCGAAGGCAGGUCUCUGGGCCACUACUGACGCUGAGAAGCGAAAGCAUGGGGAGCGAACAGG